AUCCAUCUGACAAGUCCGAAACAGGACUAAACGCGCAUCUUGGAU
rnacentral:hammerhead_ribozyme from 1 species